GAACGAAAGCGAUGUUGGUGAGGUUCAAUCCAAAGACGUCUGUACAUUCGGAUUGUAGAGAUGAAUCUAAGAUUGAGCCGUGCCAAUAUCACUUUCUCCACU